rnacentral:rRNA from 1 species
UACGAGAGGUCCAAACGUUUAUUCGGAAUUACUGGGCUUACAGAGUUCGUAGGCGGCUCUACAAGUGAGGUGUGAAAGCCCUCGGCUCAACCGAGGAACUGCGCUUCAAACUGUAGAACUAGAGGGAGAUAGAGGUGAGCAGAACUGAUGGUGGAGCGGUGAAAUGCGUUGAUAUCAUAGGAAUCCGGAGGCGAAGGCGGCUCACUGGGGUCUCUUUCUGACG